GACGAACGCUGGCGGCGUGCUUAACACAUGCAAGUCGAACGAUGAAGCCUAGCUUGCUAGGUGGAUUAGUGGCGAACGGGUGAGUAAUACGUGAGUAACCUACCUUUAACUCUGGGAUAAGCCUGGGAAACUGGGUCUAAUACCGGAUACGACCAAUCUCCGCAUGGGGUGUUGGUGGAAAGCGUUAUGUAGUGGUUAUAGAUGGGCUCACGGCCUAUCAGCUUGUUGGUGAGGUAACGGCUCACCAAGGCGACGACGGGUAGCCGGCCUGAGAGGGUGACCGGCCACACUGGGACUGAGACACGGCCCAGACUCCUACGGGAGGCAGCAGUGGGGAAUAUUGCACAAUGGGCGCAAGCCUGAUGCAGCGACGCCGCGUGAGGGAUGACGGCCUUCGGGUUGUAAACCUCUGUUAGCAGGGAAGAAGAGAGAUUG
rnacentral:rRNA from 1 species